rnacentral:rRNA from 1 species
UACGGAGGGGGCUAGCGUUGUUCGGAAUUACUGGGCGUAAAGCGCGCGUAGGCGGCUUUGUAAGUUAGAGGUGAAAGCCCGGAGCUCAACUCCGGAACUGCCUUUAAGACUGCAUCGCUAGAAUCAUGGAGAGGUGAGUGGAAUUCCGAGUGUAGAGGUGAAAUUCGUAGAUAUCGAGAGGAACACCUGCGGCGAAGGCGGGUUGCUGGGCUGACACUGACGCUGAUGCGCGAAAGCCAGGGAGCGAACAGG